ensembl:lncRNA
CAAUUUUACAAGAUUUAAUUUAUUAACUAUUAUACAGUUCACAUAAGGCCUUCAUCUUCAAACACUAUUCUCAGUCAGACAAAUUCCAUGGUUUGCUCCUGGUGCACAGUACAUAAACUUUCACGUUUCAGCUAUUUCACUUUAGUAUUGGUUUUUGUUCUAAUUUCAUGUUUUAAAACAGGGAGAGGCUUUCAUCCAUCUCCCUUGGUGUGUCUUUUUUUUAUAACUCAUGCACUAAACUUAAGUGGCCUUGAACCAUUCACAAAAAUUGUAAAAAUGGACUUUCAAUCAUUGAAAUACACACUAGAAAUGUUUUCUACCAUUCACUAAAGGGUGGUGUUCCCCAACAUACAAAUAAACAACCAUUAUAGAGUAGUAUGCACUCACUUUUUGCUCACUGAACAGCAGAUUUGCCAAGGUUGUGUCAGAGGUCAAGUGAUGCAGUAACAUUAUAUUCUCCCAGGAAUCGUGUUGUAAUGGGACAGUUGCUUAGUUGGUUUGGUGCCAGUCUAAAUGUUACAGCUUCUGAGCAGUUUGAGAAGAGCCCUCAUUUUAGCACAUAAAAUGACUGGCUUCCGACAGCAUUACGAUUCCAAUAGUACCAGUAAUUGACGAUCCCAAAUACUAAUACAACCAAUGAUCUAACUUUUCAGGUCAUUGUUGCACCCAAGAACCAUAACGGAGCCACAAUCCUCCAGAAGUUGUAAGUACAGUUGUCCAUUUUUUCCUCAUCUCUACUGAAAAGACAGUAUUUCCUCUCCAAAGUUUAAUGGUUAAAGUUACCAGGCCUUCAUUGACAGUGCUACCACUGAAAAUGUGCUGCUUGUUUUCAAAGAAAAGGGACAAUAUGCCGGCACAAAACUAAGUAACUAGAGCAGGUAAACAGCUGCAGGUGCUUCCUGAAUGUGUCCAUCCACAAAUGUUUCACUUCUACUGGUCAUUGUAUCGUAUAGCAGGACUAGCAGUAACAGUGCGUUGAGAAUACUAAACCUUCUGAGUUAAAGUUCCUUAA